AUAAAGUUACUAACUGCAGGUAAUUCUCUUACUAGUUAAGGGGAUAAAAGGGAAUCCAUGUCACGCUUUAAUUUAGCGUGACGAGGAGCGGACCCGCCGCUGUAACCGGGUACAAACAUCACAAUACCACUGCCCUGUUUUAAUAGGGUGGGAAGGUGUGAUUAGUAGGUAGAUCCGGGAGCCAGAAGACCUGCCUGUAGUUGCUUCACGUA
rfam:Planctomycetes bacterium RIFCSPHIGHO2_02_FTLL_38_41 rifcsphigho2_02_scaffold_84328, whole genome shotgun sequence.